rnacentral:rRNA from 1 species
CACGUAGGGCGCAAGCGUUGUCCGGAAUUAUUGGGCGUAAAGGGCGCGUAGGCGGUCUUGUAAGUCGGAUGUGAAAGCCCUCGGCUCAACCGAGGAAGUGCAUACGAAACUGGCGAGCUUGAAUAUGGAAGAGGGUCGCGGAAUUCCCGGUGUAGAGGUGAAAUUCGUAGAUAUCGGGAGGAACACCAGUGGCGAAGGCGGGUCUCUGGGCCGAUACUGACGCUGAGGAGCGAAAGCGUGGGGAGCGAACAGG